GUGGUCUUGUAAUGCUAGUGGGCAAAAAGCAAAGGGAUGUCAGCAAUCCAGCCUAUGUUUGUUGAAUGCAUUUGAGUCAGGUCCUAGGCUGGGCAUUGAGCGAGGGAGUCAGGAGAAGGAGCAAGAUAAGCCCAAGGAAUUCAUGGUCAGGGGUCAUCAAGAAGGUAUACGCACAUCUAACUGUAAUUCCAGAUGCAGUCUGACCUGAGCCACGAAGAAGUGCAGAGUCCCCAAGAGGCCAGAGAGCUCACGUCUGGUUAGAGUCAGGGUGUUUGAUGGGAAGAUGAAAGGAGGAGCUGGCAUCUGAGGAAAUCAACAUUCAAGGGGAGACCCAAUGAAGAAGAUAGUGCCAGAACUUAAUGGAGGCAGCCCAAGAGGAACGUGUACCUGGGGAAGUCAAGAGCUAUUUCUUGGACAUUUGUGCUUCUAUUCCAAACUCUUCUCUCAGAGUAGAUGACAACUCAGGAAGGAGCCAGAGAUCUUCCUCAGUUGACUUGUUCAGAAAUAUGAUUUGGGAUUCAGUCUGGCCCGAAGCCAUGCUUCCAGCCUCAUCUCCACUGUGCACUUUCCAUGGCGUUCUGUCUUGGUCCACUUGGCUUGUGUAGCUGCCUGGCCUGGGUUGUCCUCCCCACCCUUGUCUGCUUGGUGGCACUUGGCCCUGUUCUAAUUGCUUCUGCUCGGGCAGCUUCUCUCCUCCCUCCUCUGUGCUCUGAGGACACUGGACAGAUUCCU
rnacentral:lncRNA from 1 species